UUUCCUCUUGAUGAGUCAUAAAAACAAUUGUUUAAGAGAAGUCAACUUGUACAGAAACUGAUUCCUUUCCUUCACUUGCGCACUACACACAUCACCUCGCCUCUCCCUCCUUCCUGCUCCUUGCGUCGCCACCCCGCCAGUCGUUUCCCUCUCAUCGGCGACACUGGUUCGUUGUUGUUGCGUUGGUUCUGCUGCUGUUCCCCUCUCUCGUCUCUCCUCCAUCUCGUCCCUCUUCCAUCUCGUCCAAGCUUCGUGAUGCCGCCGCCGAUGGUGGCCGCUAAACCACCCUCAUCUAGACGCCCUCUUCAAUUGGUAAACCAUCUAAAUCCUUCCAUAAAUUGAUUGAAUUAAAUUAUGAUUUAAAAUUCCAAACCCUAACUAAUUGAAUUUCUCUCUCCUCUUGUGGGUGCGCUAUCCCUUUGGGUUGCCGGUGCGAUGGUGUUCCAUCGCCGUUGUCGUAUUUUGUUGGAGGUUGAUCGGUGUUGAUCGUUGUGUUCUUGUUCCUCUCCUCGACUCAUCUCCCCUGCUUCACUCCUCUACCUCUCCUCUCCUCCGCUAGACUCACGGAGGGCCACCCCUCGUGGCUCUGCCGGAGCUGCUCCUGCUGCUAUUCCGUUGAUAUUGUUGUUGUGUUAUCUGUCUUAUGGUUGUUGUUGCUGCUGCUUCCCUGCCUCCCUAUUUCUCUUAUGGGAAUCAGGCAGAGCAAAGUACUAUUUUUAAUGGGCAAUAAUAUCCAGCUAGAGACUUUGGUCAGUGUAGAUUUGAGGCAGUCGUGAAGGCAGCUAGCAAACAUCAACACAACUAUGAGGCUAUCAACCCAGUCUAGGCUGCAACGAUUGUGCUCCUGGUGCUCUGUCUUUUGAUGUCCUCUUCUGAUGGCCUGCUGGUUUGAUGUGAUGUUGUUUUGUUCUACUAAGUGGUGUUGAUUGGUCUACUCCUGCUAAUCUGCACUUUGCUGUCGUGUGAUCUGCUGUCUUUUCUGCACAUUGUUGCUGUUUUUCUUGAAGAUUGAAGGCGACCCAAAUGAGGAGUUAUAUGUAGGAUGCGGUGUGGUUAGUUUGGAUCAAAACUUUGUUAGACCAACGUUAACUUGGUUUGCCUUUGGUUAUUUUUUUUUUAAUUUUUUAGUGGUUUUUGUAGUUUUGGGCUUGUAGGUUGUUGCAAGGCCCUGGGGUUUGAUUGGUUGAGCUUGUACAAAAAUUGGUUUGUUUUAGUUCAUAAUAUAUUUGGAGUUAUUAAA